rnacentral:misc_RNA from 1 species
AUUCUCAACCCCUCCAGGUUUCUGACCAGGGGGUGGCUUGGACUUGGACGUGUGCCAGCUAAUGGCUCGUCUUAAAAGGAUUAGUGGAAUCUCGACAUCCACGGCAGACGUAAUAAGUUUCGUCUCGCCUUUUGUCGUAGGUCUGCUUACAACCUGCAUUUGCGCACUUUAUGA